rnacentral:SRP_RNA from 1 species
UGGUGGAAUAAGCUGGGUGAUUAGCCCUCACCUGUAACCAUAAACGGGCUAUACGAUGGAGCUGAAGCUUAAGAAGAGGUAUAUUAUUGAUUAUUAGUCUUGGCUAAUACUAUGAGACUUUGUCCUGAUUGGUUGGUUAUUAUAAGAAUCAGGUCAGGCUGGGAACAGAAUUAGUCUUUAAAAAGAUUAUGUUCAAAGCAGCCUUAAUUAUAAUGACUGGCGCUUUUAGGGUAACGAAGUUGAGGAUGUAGCCAAGGUAGCUGGUAAUUGAUAGUAUAUCCAUUCUUUUGCGCUUCCACCA